GAUGAACGCGGCGGCGUGCCUAAUACAUGCAAGUCGAGCGAGAAGCUUGGAAAUGACGCUUCGGUUGAUUUUCCAAGCGGACAGCGGCGGACGGGUGAGUAACGCGUAGGCAACCUGCCCCUGACAGAGGGAUAGCCAUUGGAAACGAUGAUUAAAACCUCAUGACACCGUAGUAGCACAUGCUACAUCGGUCAAAGAUUUAUCGGUCAGGGAUGGGCCUGCGUCUGAUUAACUGGUUGGUGAGGUAACGGCUCACCAAGGUGACGAUCAGUAGCCGACCUGGGAGGGUGAUCGGCCACAUUGGAACUGAGACACGGUCCAAACUUCUACGGAAGGCAGCAGUAGGGAAUCUUGCACAAUGGGCGAAAGCCUGAUGCAGCAACGCCGCGUGAAGGAUGAAGGCCUUCGGGUUGUAAACUUCUGUUCUAAAGGGAAAGAAAGAAAUGAACGGUACCUUAGG
rnacentral:rRNA from 1 species